rnacentral:rRNA from 1 species
AGUCAUAUGCUUGUCUCAAAGACUAAGCCAUGCAUGUCUAAGUAUAAGUAUUAUACAGCGAAACUGCGAAUGGCUCAUUAAAACAGUUAUAGUUUAUUUGAUAAUCGAAUUUACAUGGAUAACCGUGGUAAUUCUAGAGCUAAUACAUGCUGGUGUGCCCGACUUUUCGGAAGGGCGGUAUUUAUUAGAUAACAAGCCAAUAUUCCUCUGGUCUAUUGUGGUGACUCAUAAUAACUGAUCGAAUCGCAAGGCCUUUGGCCGCGAUAAGUCAUUCAAGUUUCUGCCCCAUCAGCUUUCGAUGGUAGUGUAUUGGACUACCAUGGCGUUUACGGGUAACGGAGGAUUAGGGUUCGAUUCCGGAGAGGGAGCCUGAGAAACGGCUACCACAUCUAAGGAAGGCAGCAGGCGCGUAAAUUACCCAAUCCUGACUCAGGGAGGUAGUGACAAGAAAUAACGGACCGAGGCCUUCGGGCUUCGGGAUUGGAAUGAGCCGAAUACACCCCUUAGCGAAGAUCGAU